GACGAACGUUGGCGGCGUGCUUAACACAUGCAAGUCGAACGGAAAGGCCCUGCUUUUGUGGGGUGCUCGAGUGGCGAACGGGUGAGUAACACGUGAGUAACCUGCCCUUGACUUUGGGAUAACUUCAGGAAACUGGGGCUAAUACCGGAUAGGAGCUCCUGCUGCAUGGUGGGGGUUGGAAAGUUUCGGCGGUUGGGGUUGGACUCGCGGCUUAUCAGCUUGUUGGUGGGGUAGUGGCUUACCAAGGCUUUGACGGGUAGCCGGCCUGAGAGGGUGACCGGCCACAUUGGGACUGAGAUACGGCCCAGACUCCUACGGGAGGCAGCAGUGGGGAAUAUUGCACAAUGGGCGGAAGCCUGAUGCAGCAACGCCGCGUGCGGGAUGACGGCCUUCGGGUUGUAAACCGCUUUCGCCUGUGACGAAGCGUGAGUGACGGUAAUGGGUAAAGAAGCACCGGCUAACUACGUGCCAGCAGCCGCGGUGAUACGUAGGGUGCGAGCGUUGUCCGGAUUUAUUGGGCGUAAAGGGCUCGUAGGUGGUUGAUCGCGUCGGAAGUGUAAUCUUGGGGCUUAACCCUGAGCGUGCUUUCGAUACGGGUUGACUUGAGGAAGGUAGGGGAGAAUGGAAUUCCUGGUGGAGCGGUGGAAUGCGCAGAUAUCAGGAGGAACACCAGUGGCGAAGGCGGUUCUCUGGGCCUUUCCUGACGCUGAGGAGCGAAAGCGUGGGGAGCGAACAGGCUUAGAUACCCUGGUAGUCCACGCUGUAAACGGUGGGUACUAGGUGUGGGGUCCAUUCCACGGGUUCCGUGCCGUAGCUAACGCUUUAAGUACCCCGCCUGGGGAGUACGGCCGCAAGGCUAAAACUCAAAGGAAUUGACGGGGCCCCGCACAAGCGGCGGAGCAUGCGGAUUAAUUCGAUGCAACGCGUAGAACCUUACCUGGGUUUGACAUGGAUCGGGAGUGCUCAGAGAUGGGUGUGCCUCUUUUGGGGUCGGUUCACAGGUGGUGCAUGCCUGUCGUCAGCUCGUGUCGUGAGAUGUUGGGUUAAGUCCCGCAACGAGCGCAACCCUUGUUCACUGUUGCCAGCACGUUAUGGUGGGGACUCAGUGGAGACCGCCGGGGUCAACUCGGAGGAAGGUGGGGAUGACGUCAGGUCCUCAUGCCCCUUAUGUCCAGGGCUUCACGCAUGCUACAAUGGCUGGUACAGAGAGUGGCGAGCCUGUGAGGGUGAGCGAAUCUCGGAAAGCCGGUCUCAGUUCGGAUUGGGGUCUGCAACUCGACCUCAUGAAGUCGGAGUCGCUAGUAAUCGCAGAUCAGCAACGCUGCGGUGAAUACGUUCCCGGG
rnacentral:rRNA from 1 species